UUAAGGCCACGCCCCUAUUCUGCGUUCCAUUGGUGCCCUGGUUACGCCACCUGUGGCUCAGUUGCACAGCUGCCUGGUAGGUGACUGGAGGCAUUGAGCAGUGCUCACUGGUAUUUCGCUGAUGUGGCCCCAACCCCGCCUCCCUCCCCACCCCGCGAUGUCAGAAAAAACACAACAGGGGAAAUUGGCCGCAGCCAAGAAAAAGUUAAAAGCAUAUUGGCAGAGGAAGAGCCCUGGCAUUCCAGCAGGAGCUAACAGGAAAAAGAAAAUCAAUGGCAGUAGCCCUGACACAGCCACUUCUGGUGGUUACCACUCACCUGGGGAUUCAGCAACAGGUAUCUACGGGGAGGGCCGUGCAUCCUCUACUACCCUGGAGGAUCUGGAGAGCCAGUACCAAGAACUAGCAGUGGCCCUGGAUUCAAGCUCCGCAAUAAUCAGUCAACUCACUGAAAACAUCAAUUCACUGGUUCGCACAUCUAAGGAGGAGAAGAAGCAUGAGAUACAUCUGGUACAGAAGCUUGGGAGGAGCUUGUUCAAACUCAAAAACCAGACGGCUGAACCCCUGGCCCCAGAGCCCCCAGCAGGGCCAUCUAAGGUAGAGCAGCUACAAGAUGAGACCAACCACCUAAGGAAGGAGCUAGAGAGUGUGGGAAGACAGCUCCAGGCUGAGGUGGAAAACAAUCAGAUGUUGAGUCUCCUGAACAGGAGACAGGAGGAGAGGCUACGUGAACAGGAGGAGAGGCUACGUGAACAGGAGGAGAGGCUACGUGAACAGGAGGAGAGGCUGUGUGAACAGGAGGAGAGGCUACGUGAACAGGAGGAGAGGCUACGUGAACAGGAGGAGAGGCUGUGUGAACAGGAGGAGAGGCUACGUGAACAUGAGGAGAGGCUGUGUGAACAGGAGGAGAGGCUGUGUGAACAGGAGGAGAGGCUACGUGAACAGGAGGAGAGGCUACAUGAACAGGAGGAGAGGCUGUGUGAACAGGAGGAGAGGCUACGUGAACAGGAGGAGAGGCUGUGUGAACAGGAGGAGAGGCUACGUGAACAGGAGGAGAGGCUGUGUGAACAGGAGGAGAGGCUACGUGAACAGGAGGAGAGGCUGUGUGAACAGGAGAAGCUGCCAGGGCAGGAGAGGCUGCUGGAAGAGGUGGAGAAGCUGUUAGAACAGGAGAGGCGGCAGGAGGAGCAGGAGAGGCUGCUGGAGAGGGAGAGGCUGCUGGAAGAGGUGGAGAAGCUGUUAGAACAGGAGAGGCGGCAGGAGGAGCAGGAGAGGCUGCUGGAGAGGGGGAGAGGGAGAGGCUGCUGGACGAGGUGGAGGAGCUCCUGGACGAGGUGGAGGAGCUCCUGGAGCAGGAGAGGCUUCGGCAACAGGAUGAGAGGCUGUGGCAGCAGGAGACUCUGCAGGAGCUGGAGAGGCUGCGGGAGCUGGAGAGGAUGCUGGAGCUGGGGUGGGAAGCCCUGUACGAGCAGCGGGCCGAGCCACGCAGCGGCUUCGAGGAGCUGAACAACGAGAACAAGAGCACACUGCAGUUGGAGCAGCAAGUAAAGGAGCUGAAGAAGUCGGGUGGAGCUGAAGAGCCAAGAGGCUCCGAGUCUGCAGCAGCAGCCAGACCAGUAGCUGGAGCCCCAGUCCCACAAGGAGCUUGGAUGUGCGGACAAGCAGGGUGGACUCCCCAGGAGCACCCAGGCUUGGGUGGAGAAGCUGUUGGUACAGGAGAGGCGGCAGGAGGAGCAGGAGAGGCUGCAUGCCAUUCUUUUCGGGCUGCCGAGAACAGGGAGCUAAACAUCACCAUCAUCUAAGAGCGGGUCAAGGAAUU